rnacentral:lncRNA from 1 species
GCUGAAUCAAAUAUGAGGCACUUGGCACCGAGUUAACUAAAGACUCACUGAAGCUGUUCUGGAGCCUGUUUCUAUUCGUCCCAAAUUAGAUGUUUAAAAAUGCUGAAAUGGCUGAAAAGAAAAAAGGAUUUGAGUCUCUGCAGUUUCACACGAACAAGUUCCCAAGGUAGGAAAGAAAUAUAAGUUCAGGUAAGAAUAAUUGCAAAGCAAUUGUAUCUACUUUAGUCACUUACUAAGAUAGCCAUGGACAUUUUCUGUGUGCUUAAAAGAUGG